rnacentral:rRNA from 1 species
AGCGAACGCUGGCGGCAGGCCUAACACAUGCAAGUCGAACGAUCCUUCGGGAUAGUGGCGGACGGGUGAGUAACACGUGGGAACGUGCCCUUUGGUUCGGAACAGCUCAGGGAAACUUGAGCUAAUACCGGAUGUGCCCUUCGGGGGAAAGAUUUAUCGCCAUUGGAGCGGCCCGCGUAGGAUUAGCUAGUUGGUGGGGUAAAGGCCCACCAAGGCUUCGAUCCUUAGCUGGUCUGAGAGGAUGAUCAGCCACACUGGGACUGAGACACGGCCCAGACUCCUACGGGAGGCAGCAGUGGGGAAUCUUGCGCAAUGGGCGAAAGCCUGACGCAGCCAUGCCGCGUGAAUGAUGAAGGUCUUAGGAUUGUAAAAUUCUUUCACCGGGGACGAUAAUGACGGUACCCGGAGAAGAAGCCCCGGCUAACUUCGUGCCAGCCGCCGCAGUAA